rnacentral:rRNA from 1 species
CCCUUAGAUGUCCGGGGCUGCACGCGCGCUACACUGAAGGAAUAAGCGUGCUAAAACCAUUGUCGAAAGGCAUUGGUAAACCCAUUAAAAUCCUACGUGAUUGGGAUCGGGAAUUGCAAUUAUUUCCCUUGAACGAGGAAUUCCCAGUAAGUGUGGGUCAUAAGCUCGCGUUGAUUACGUCCCUGCCCUUUGUACACACCGCCCGUCGCUGCCCGGGACUGAGCCGUUUCGAGAAAAGCGGGGACUGCUGCUGUCGGGGCUUUCGGGCCUUGGCUUCGGUGGAAACCGCUUUAAUCGCAGUGGCUUGAACCGGGCAAAAGUCGUAACA